rnacentral:rRNA from 1 species
GACGAACCGUGCGAACGUUAUUCGGAAUCACUGGGCUUAAAGCGCGUGUAGGCAGGAGGGCACGUCCGUCGCUGAAAUCCCCCGGCUCAACCGGGGAACGGGCGCGGAUACGACCUUCCUGGAGGGGCGUAGGGGGACCUGGAACUUCCGGUGGAGCGGUGAAAUGCGUAGAUAUCUGGAGGAACACCGGUGGCGAAGGCGGCAUCCUGGACCGGCAUUGACGCUGAGGAGCGAAAGCCAGGGGAGCAAACGGG